AAUAUUGGACAAUGGGGGCAACCCUGAUCCAGCCAUGCCGCGUGUGUGAAGAAGGUCNNNGGAUUNUAAAGCACGUUAAGUUGNGAGNAAGGGCUUCAGGUUAAUACUCUGAAGUUUUGACGUUAGCAACUGAAUAAGCACCGGCUAACUCUGUGCCAGCAUCCGCGGUAAUACAUAGGGUGUAAGCGUGAAUCUGAAGUAUUGGGCGUAAAGCGCGCGGAGGUUGUUCAGUAAGAUGGGUGUGAAACCCCCGGGCAUAAUCUGGGAACUGCUUUCAUAACUGCAGAUCUAGAGUACGGUAGAGGGUAAUGGAAUUUCCUGUGUAGCGGUGAAAUGCAUAGAUAUAGGAAGGAACACCAGUGGCGAAGGCGACUACCUGGAAUGAUACAGACACUGAGGUGCGAGAGCGUGGGGAGCAAA
rnacentral:rRNA from 1 species